CCUACGGGAGGCAGCAGUGAGGAAUAUUGGUCAAUGGGCGCGAGCCUGAACCAGCCAAGUCGCGUGAGGGAAGACGGUCCUACGGAUUGUAAACCUCUUUUGUCGGGGAGCAAAAGACGCCACGCGUGGCGUUCCGAGAGUACCCGAAGAAAAAGCAUCGGCUAACUCCGUGCCAGCCACCGCGGUAAUACGGAGGAUGCGAGCGUUAUCCGGAUUUAUUGGGUUUAAAGGGGGCGCAGGCGGAAGAUCAAGUCAGCGGUAAAAUUGAGGGGCUCAACCUCGUCGAGCCGUUGAAACUGGUUUCAUUGAGUGAGUGAGAAGAAUGCGGAAUGCGUGGUGUAGCGGUGAAAUGCAUAGAUAUCACGCAGAACUCCGAUUGCGAAGGCAGCAUACCGGCGCUCAACUGACGCUCAUGCACGAAAGUGUGGGGAUCGAACAGGAUUAGAUACCCCAGUAGUC
rnacentral:rRNA from 1 species